UUAGACUUUAAAUGAGCAAGCUGUGGCUUAGCCUCUCCAUGUCACCAAUUAAGUGACUAGUUAAAGGUUUGGCUGGUUUUGUAAUGAAGCUCUUGGGUGCUUAAUCCUGGGAACAUUAACUGAAGUGAACCUAGGAAUAGUGAUAAUAGGCAUAUCCUUCCUUAAUCUCUGGUGACAGAUGGGGGAUCCCAAAUACUUGAGAAAUGCAAGAAGAUGCCAGACUGUCUGCUGUGGCUGAAAUACCCAGGCUGCUUUUCUGAUCCAUUUGAAGACUCAUUUGGAGGAACUGAGACGUGUGUAGAACCUUCUCUGAGGGGUGACAAGUUGAGAACUGGAGGAUGAGAACACCAUGGAGCUUAGAAAAACAAAACCAAUUAUAACUUCAAACAAGAACUGGAAUCGAUGCUAACGAGGCAGAGAGAUCAAACAGCACAGGGGCACUUGGUAGAAAGAAGAAGCCUUCUCCACCUGCAAGUCUGAAUCAUUCUUGUUUUUUGUUUUUCAGUACAGGGUUUCUCUGUAGCUUUGGAGCCUUCCUGGAACUUUCUCUGUAGACCAGGCUGGCCUUGAACUCACAGAGGUCCACCUGCCUCUGCCUCCCAAGUGCCACCAUUGCCGGGCUGUAAACCAUUCUUUUCUUGCUUACAGACAGGAAACUGAAUCCCAGCAAGGCAAGGAGACUUUAAGUCCACAUGGUUAGUGAUAGCAUCAUUGACAAAAGACUUCAUUUCCUGAUUUCCAACUACACCAUGACUGGUUAAGUCUCUCUCAGCAUCUUGACUAUGUUCUGCUUAUUGGUAUAGAGAUAGAAAAUGGAACAUAGACAGAGUAUAAAAAUGAUAACUCAUUACUAAAUUUUUCUAAUUUGUUUUCAUUAUUAGAGUUAUGCCUCUCGAGUAAUUAACUGUUAUUACUUUAGCAAUACAAAUGCAUAAUAUAAAACUUAGCAAUUUAAUAAUACAAGAUCACAAGAGAAGAAAUGAGCAUUCAACUAAAUUUAUUAUUAUUAUUAUUAUUAUUAUUAUUAUUAUUAUUAUUAUUAUGUAGGCAGUAUUUGAUAAAUCUUACUACUGGGCUUGUCAUCUGCUACUGCAUGCCAUUUGCCUAGAGGCAGCUGCUAGAAUUCCAGCUGCUGUCAGGGAAGAGAUAACUGGUCCCCAUCAUGCUGGCCUGGGAAACCCAUCUUAUUAGACAGUGGUAUAUGUCAUAGGCUGAGGAUGCUCUGAAGAGAAAAAAAUGAGGAUGUGGUUUCCCCCCAGUAGAUAGAGCUGUCAUCGGGCUCUCUAGAGAUAGCUGUUGAUGACAGGGGCUAAGAAGAAGAUGAAGGCCUCUCCAGGCUGUG
rnacentral:lncRNA from 1 species